CCUACGGGUGGCAGCAGUGGGGAAUAUUGGGCAAUGGGCGCAAGCCUGACCCAGCAAAGCCGCGUGAAGGAUGAAGGCUCUCGGGUUGUAAACUUCUUUUUUCAGGGACGUAGCAAGUGACGGUACCUGAGGAAUGAGCCUCGGCUAACUACGUGCCAGCAGCCGCGGUAAUACGUCGGUGGCCAGCGUUAGCCGGAUUUACUGGGUGUAAAGGGCGUGUAGGCGGGACUGGAAGUCAGAUGUGAAAACCACGGGCUCAACCUGUGGACUGCAUUUGAAACUGUCGUUCUUGAGUACGGGAGAGGCAGGCGGAAUUCCUGGUGUAGCGGUGAAAUGCGUAGAUAUUAGGAGGAACACCAGUGGCGAAGGCAGUCUGCUGGACCGCAACUGACGCUGAGGCGCGAAAGCGUGGGUAGCGAACAGGAUUAGAUACCCCUGUAGUC
rnacentral:rRNA from 1 species